AAUAAAGUGCCUGACAAAAAGGCUUAUCGUGAUAGGAUAAAUAAUGUAAUUAUAAAUUACCUUUAUUA
rnacentral:tRNA from 1 species